rnacentral:rRNA from 1 species
ACAUGAAGUCGGAAUCGCUAGUAAUCGCGGAUCAGCACGCCGCGGUGAAUACGUUCCCGGGCCUUGUACACACCGCCCGUCACACCACGAGAGUUUGUAACACCCGAAGUCGGUGAGGUAACCUUUUGGAGCCAGCCGCCUAAGGUGGGAUAGAUGAUUGGGGUGAAGUCGUAACAAGGUAGCCGUAUCGGAAGGUGCGGCUGGAUCACCUCCUUUCUAAGGAA